AGGGAUUUUUUAAUUUUAAGCUAUUUGUCUGUUAAGUAUAUAAUACCAAAACGCAGGUUGUUUAAAUUAGGAUUUCCAAGUAAUUUAUGUCGUCUUCAAAAUUCCUGGGGUCUAUCAAUCAGAAACGCCAGAAAGUUUGUGUACUAGUUUCACAUUGUUAAGGGAGUAUCUAUAAUAAAAUUCAAAUGCGUUAUUUUAAAAUAAGUAAAGGACUUA
rnacentral:lncRNA from 1 species